rnacentral:lncRNA from 1 species
UUACCUGUGAGUCACAGUAAAUUGGCUGCACUGUGAAUCAGAGAGGCUAUUUGAUUUUGUUUCCCUGAGGAGUGGGAAAAUUCAGUUUAAAAAUAUUUCUCUUCCCUAAAAGAAGUGGCAAUCUCCAGAUGGAUGGCCUGGUUACUCUCCCUUGGAUCUUGUUUCACCACGCAUCCCGAGUAGUAGCCAUUAUUUCCAACAAAAUGAUCUCUGUUCACAACUCUUUUCUUUUUUGUAUACUGUUCAGCAAAUUUUAAUGAUCUGCUCCUCUGAAUUCUGUAGCACUGACAGCCAGAGCCACUCCAUGGCUCUAUACUGGGUUACGCAUUCCUCAGGUUGAGUUCUUGUUUUGUCUAUUAGAGGUGCAUCUGGAUUGUGAGUUCCUGCCUUCCAGGACCUUAGGCUGAUGGAUUCUGGUCUUUCCGAGGCUGCCGAAUGUGCAGUACAUAUUUAAGGUUGUACUGGGAGCCUUUUCUCUUACUCUGUGUCAUUGUAGCACUCUUACUUGCAAAUGGAAAGGGGCACAGCCCAGAAGAAAGUGGUUCAGUCCACUCAGCUUCCUAAUGGAUAUCCUUUGAAGCCUUUGCUUCUGAUUUGAGUAGAUAUGAGUCCACACUGAGUUCAUAUGUUAGUGGAGAUGGGAAGAGUAAUGUAUCAUGACUGUUUGGGUAUUUCUCUAUCUUCUGUUCAUGGAUAUGAACACUUAGCUCAGGAGUAUGGGGUGUACAAUGUACCCUAUUCCGUGGAAAUGUCCUUGGGCAUUUUUACUGUGUCCCUCUCCCCUGUAAAAGCCACUCUUCUUUCUCCCCCCCCCCCUUUACACUGCAUCUAUCCUCAAGCCUCACCAAUUACUGUCCCUUACAUCCAGCAUGGGUUGCUGUCUCUGCCCUGUUUGGUCUCAUUCCUGGGAAGGUUGGAUGUUAGGCAUGUGUGGAGGUAUGGAGAAAAGGUCUUCUUUUUUGUAGGGUCUGAAAGACCUUUAUUACCUGGAGGAUUAACUUGCUGCCAACAUAACUCCUAUGCAAUGCUAAGCCAAGCUGCUAAGCUAAGCUAAGACCUUUCUAGCCUUGAGUUAAUGUCAAAAGGUCCACUGAGUUCUUGGGCAUACUUGAGGAGGCAGGGAGGAAAGAAAAGAAAACCUCUGUGAUUACACCUCUGCUCUCCUUUCCAUAAUUCUGGAAGACCUCUUCCUUUGUGAAGUUUAUAUAAACCUGUAGCUGACUUUGCUGCUCUGUUUGUAUUUGUCUACUACUAUUACCCAAACAUACCUUCUACAGUGUUUUUUUUCAGGGACUUUUUUCUUCCCUACACAGAGUUAGUAUUUAUUUAUUUUUUAAAAAAUAUUUUAUUUAUUCAUGAGAGACAGAGAGAGACAGAGAGGCAGAGACAUAGGCAUAGGGAGAAGCAGGCUCCACACAGGGAGCCUGAUAUGGGACUCAAUUCCAAGACCCCAGGACCACGCCCUGAGCCAAAGGCAGAUGCCCAACAGCUGAGCCACCCAGGCGUCCCCAGGGUUAGUAUUUAUGUGAGGUGUUUUCAGAACACAUAGAACUGACCUGCAGGGUAGCUGAGCCUCUGCAGAGAUAACAGAUGUUGGUACAUAGGCAAGAAACUCAGUUGUUAUAGGGAUAAGGGGAGCAGGUUAAGAAUCACUUUUUUCGUGUUAUUUUGGUCACGUAAAGUUUGGAGUUUGAGAGAGACUAGAUCAUCUUAAUUAUUGAAUACUUUUGUGCUAGGCAUGGUGCCAGACUAAGGAAUGUGGAAAUUCAAAACUAAAUCUUGGCCCUAAGGAGCUGGUGCUCUACUUGGAUAAACAGUUAAAUAGGAGUUUCUGCAGAAUUAUUGGUUGCUCAAAUAAAUCCCAGGGUCCCACACAACCAAAGCUUUGUUUGCAUUUCCAUUCAGGAUGCACAGUCUAGUCCAACAUCCAAAGUGUUUCAAAAGGAAUUCCAGUUUUCCCUUCUAUCUUUCAAUGUAUGUUAAAGAAGACCUGAUUCAUAAUGCACAACUACAGUUCUCAAAAACGAUGGUCUCCUCUUCCUCAUUCUUUUGGUCCCUUUGUUACUCAGGAGUCUUUUAUAUGACAAUCCCAUAAAACUCUCCUUUUCCUUCCUCUUCUCCCAGCAGUUUAUUUUAUAGUUUGACCAAGUCUUUCCUGGCUAAAACUUCUGCGGUGUCCUCUGCCUUCUCAGGUACUUUGCUACCCUCCUGACUCCUAGGCUGAGAAAAGACACAAUUGUUCUUUAGAGGGUAGGGGGUAGGUAAAAUGGAGUGGGAAGUUGGAGAACCUUUACAUGUUAACGAAUCACCUCCCUGUUGUGCCCAUGGUCCACAUUUUGGCACUUCACUGUACACCCCUCUCAUGGUAAUAGUUGAGUUCUAAUCUACUUCUCUGAGACACAUUAUUUUCAGAUAUCCUAAUCUUUUCACUUUCGCUGUAGGGUGUACCUUCUUUGUGCAGAGAAAAACAACUUCAUCUCUGCAAGAAGCAGGAAGCCCACAUAAUAGGAUUAACGUACUGUGGUUGAUAGGGCUGAUGAGGACUGAUUGUCUUGGGGCAGUAUUGAUUGUCUUUUAUGAAUUAUUUCAGUAAUAUGUGUGUGUGUACACGUGCGCAUGUGCCUGUGUGUUUUUUAAGGAGAGCAAAUGUGAACAGCUGCAGUUUUCUGAGACCAGUCAUAAACACAUGUCCUUGUUUAUCAAACAUGUAUGAGCAACCAGCUUAUUGAGGAAUUUCAGUUUGGGAAAUAAACAUGAGACAAUUUUGUUUAUUUUUAAUUGCUGCUUUCCCUUACUACCAUCUCAGGGGGAUUCUAUAGUUUGCCAUCAUUUUUGGUUUUAAAACCAAGUCCAGUGGAUGUUGAAACUUCCAUCUCAUAUCCAGUUUGGAAAAUCUUUUUCUCUUUACUUGCAUAGUAUAGACUUGUGGCUUAAGGAGCCAGUGUUGUGCUGAAUAUAUAAUUGAUGACUUAGCCCUCUUCCUCCCAAGGUCAGUGUCAAGGUGGCCUCUUCUGGAGGGCUAGGCAAGGACCUGCCUAUUACAUGACUCCCUGAUGUGAUAGUUUGACUCUAGAUCCCUUCCUUUUGUUCCUCUCCCCUUUUUAUCAGUCAGGAUGAGUUAGUUCAUGCUGUGGUAACAAAUAGUCAUGCUUUUUGUCUUAAAAUAGUGAAUGCUUAUUUUUCCCUCAUGCUGCACAUCUCUCAUGGGUUGGUAGGAGCUCUGAUCUUGUCCUUAGGACAGCAGGCUGAUGAAGACUCCAUUUCCAUGCUUUCAUAACUGUUAUGCUGCAGAGCCUGCAUUAGCAACUCAAGGCAUCUUAGAUGAGACACUCUUGUUUUUUUUUUCUUUUUCCUUUUUUUUUUUUUUUUUUAGCAAGAAAGUCACAUGGCCAGACUCCACUUACAUGGGAGCAUUUUUUAAAAUAAAUUUAUUUUUUAUUGGUGUUCAAUUUGUCAACAUAUAGAAUAACACCCAGUGCUCAUCCCAUCAAGUGCCCACCUCAGUGCCUAUCAUCCAGUCAACCCCACCCCCCGCCCACCUCUCCUUCCACCACCCCUAGUUCGUUUCCCAGAGUUAGGAGUCUUUCAUGUUCUGUUUCCCUUUCUGAUAUUUCC